rnacentral:rRNA from 1 species
CGACUUCGGGUGUUGCAAACUCUCGUGGUGUGACGGGCGGUGUGUACAAGGCCCGGGAACGUAUUCACCGCGGCAUGNUGAUCCGCGAUUACUAGCGAUUCCAGCUUCACGCAGUCGAGUUGCAGACUGCGAUCCGAACUGAGAACAGAUUUAUGGGAUUGGCUAAACCUUGCGGUCUUGCAGCCCUUUGUUCUGUCCAUUGUAGCACGUGUGUAGCCCAGGUCAUAAGGGGCAUGAUGAUUUGACGUCAUCCCCACCUUCCUCCNGUUUGUCACCGGCAGUCACCUUAGAGUGCCCAACUGAAUGCUGGCAACUAAGAUCAAGGGUUGCGCUCGUUGCGGGACUUAACCCAACAUCUCACGACACGAGCUGACGACAACCAUGCACCACCUGUCACUCUGUCCC